GCUUUGCGCCGGGAGACUGCACUGCUCAUGCCAGAGACCCGCUGAAAGGUCACCCCAGAAUGGCUGUGUUGGGAGGGGCUUGCUUAGCAGUGUGGGUCCUGAACUGUGAUCUUUAACUCUCCACUUUGGGGGGUAAAAGCAAGAGUAAAGAAUUCCAAAGGAGCCCCAAAUUCAGAUUUUUGGAAUGAUAAUAUAACCAGAAGUUUUUUUUUUCCUCUCUCUGAAUUACUGUAAACAGCAAGGAGACACAGCCCAUGCAGUUCUUUUAAAUAAGCAGUGAGAAGCCCCUGUGUCUUCCUGGAGGUUUGUAAGCAGAUGUUGCUGAGCCUGCAUCAGACUGGGUUUCUACAUCAUUUAAUCACUUGUCUUGACAUAUCACUUCCGGACACUGCUUGAACCUGUGCAGAAUGAGUUGAGGAGUUUUUUCUGCUACAAAUCCAAGUCCUUGGAUGCCACAUACCAGCAUGUGAUGAAGACCAGGGGUCCUCUAAGAAGACCAUGAGCUGGGAUUGCCCAAUCUUAAAGUUUUGUCCUCCAAAACUAUCAAGAUGCAGAACUCUCAGCUACUUGUCCAGCACCAUGUCUGCCUGCAUGCCGCCAGGUUUUCCACCAUGACAAGAAUGGACUAAAUCUCUGAACUGUAUGCCAGCCUCAGUUAAGUGUUUUCCUUUUUAAGAGUUGCCAUAGUCCACUGCGGCCGUCCUCCAAGCCCCAGCCAGAGUUCUGCCCUACUGCAAGGAACUCAGAGAGGAGCAUUAGAGAGAAUGGCUGUACCUCCAGGGAUGGUGGAAGCCACUAGCACCAGCAAGACCGUGGAACAGCUUAUAGGGAGGAUCCUUAGUCCCAACCUGCAGCAUAGAGCCGCUACUACUGUAGAGGCAGCAGGCACAGUGGUCAUACCACGUGAGCCAGCAACAGCCUGGAGCUCUAGUGAAUCCUAACCCUGGACACCCUGCCCAGCUGAAGGAUCACCCUGACUUUGAACGACAACAGGAUAUCCAAGAAGAAUCUCAGAGAUAGCCCAGCAUUUAUGAUGUUUCAGAAUCCAGAGGCCUUGAACCAGACCAAUGACUCCUUAUAUGACUAUUUGCAUGUAAAACUGUUGGGACAAAAAAAUUUCAUAUAUGUAUGUAUAGUGUGACACACUCACUGCAGUUUGGAAUGCCACUUCAAUAAACAAUGGUGCAAAGGAAAAAAAAAAAGAGUUGCCAUGGUCAUGGUGUCUUUUCACAGCAAUAAAAACCUAAGUAAGGCAGCAAACCUGAGGCUAAAUUUUGGAUUAAUUAUGAUAGCAAACCUGAAGAGAAUUAUCCUGACUCCCUAAGUCUGCCCCUAUUUCUCCAUCACUUCCUCUCCUAGAUGCCUAGUCUUUUUGGAAUAUGCUUUUGCUUCUACAGAUGUGAUGAACCCAAGGAAUUCUUCCUUCUACAAGGGUAGGCUUUGACUGAAGCACAAAGCCACCUGCGGUGUGUGGAUACUUCUCCUUUAGUUGCUAGUCAAGGGUGUCCUGGAGACCUUCAAAUAAUAUGUCUUAUUGUCAUUGUUGGUGGUGGUAAGACUCUAUUACUAAAGACACUACACACUUUUGAC